UUUUAGUCGAAGUCAGUGAUCCCAUGCUGCCAAGAAAAGCCUCUAGCGAGCUUCGAGCGGCCCGUACCCCAAACCGACACAGGUGGUCAGGUAGAGAAUACCUAGGCGAUCGGGCGAACUGUGGUUAGGGAACUCGGCAAAUUACCCCCGUAACUUCGGGAGAAGGGGGGCCACAGACCGUGAAACCCCAUGCGGGUGGCAGCGGUAGGUGGCCGCAGAGACCAGGGGGAAGCGACUGUUUACUAAAAACACAGGUCCGUGCGAAGUCGUAAGACGAUGUAUACGGACUGACGCCUGCCCGGUGCUGGAACGUUAAGGGGACCGGUUAGUCCGCAAGGGCGAAGCUGAGAACUUAAGCGCCAGUAAACGGCGGUGGUAACUAUAACCAUCCUAAGGUAGCGAAAUUCCUUGUCGGGUAAGUUCCGACCUGCACGAAUGGCGUAACGACUUCCCUACUGUCUCAACCACAGGCCCGGCGAAAUUGCACUACGAGUAAAGAUGCUCGUUACGCGCGGAAGGACGGAAAGACCCCGGGACCUUCACUAUAGCUUGACAUUGGUACUCGAAUUGAAUUGUGUAGGAUAGGAGGAGACUAUGAAGCUCGGACGCCAGUCCGGGUGGAGUCAACGUUGAAAUACCACUCUGUUGAAUUUGGGUAUCUAACUUCGGACCGUGAUCCGGUUCAGGGACAGUGUCUGGUGGGUAGUUUAACUGGGGCGGUUGCCUCCUAAAAUGUAACGGAGGCGCCCAAAGGUUCCCUCAGCCUGGUUGGCAAUCAGGUGUUGAGUGCAAGUGCACAAGGGAGCUUGACUGUGAGACUGACAGGUCGAGCAGGGACGAAAGUCGGGACUAGUGAUCCGGCACCGGCGAGUGGAAGCGGUGUCGCUCAACGGAUAAAAGGUACCCCGGGUAUAACAGGCUGAUCUUCCCCAAGAGUCCAUAUCGACGGGAUGGUUUGGCACCUCGAUGUCGGCUCGUCGCAUCCUGGGGCUGGAGUAGGUCCCAAGGGUUGGGCUGUUCGCCCAUUAAAGCGGCACGCGAGCUGGGUUUAGAACGUCGUGAGACAGUUCGGUCCCUAUCCUCCGCGCGCGCAGGAGACUUGAGAAGAGCUGUCCCUAGUACGAGAGGACCGGGACGGACGAACCUCUGGUGUGCCAGUUGUCAUGCCAAUGGCACGGCUGGUUAGCUACGUUCGGAAGGGAUAACCGCUGAAAGCAUCUAAGCGGGAAGCCUGCUUCAAGAUGAGGUCUCCCACCCCCUCGAGGGUUAAGGCCCCCAGCAAGACCACUGGCUUGAUAGGCCAGAAGUGUAAGCCUGGUAACAGGUUCAGCCGACUGGUACUAAUAGGCCGAGGACUUC
rnacentral:rRNA from 1 species